rnacentral:rRNA from 1 species
AGAGUUUGAUCAUGGCUCAGAACGAACGCUGGCGGCGUGGAUAAGACAUGCAAGUCGAACGGGAUUUCUUUCUGUCGCAAGACAGGAAGAAGUCUAGUGGCGAACGGGUGCGUAACACGUGGGCAAUCUGCCUUUAAAGUGGGGGAUAGCUCGGCGAAAGCCGAAUUAAUACCGCAUGUGAUGAGAGUAGACAUCUAUUCGAAAUCAAAGCCGGGGCAACCUGGCGCUUUUUGAGGAGCCCGCGGCCUAUCAGCUUGUUGGUGAGGUAACGGCCCACCAAGGCUAUGACGGGUAGCUGGUCUGAGAGGACGACCAGUCACACUGGGACUGAGACACGGCCCAGACACCUACGGGUGGCAGCAGUCGAGAAUUUUUCUCAAUGGGGGCAACCCUGAAGGAGCGACGCCGCGUGGAGGAUGAAGGCUUUCGGGUUGUAAACUCCUGUCAUUUGAGAACAAGGCGCGUACGUUAACUGCGUGCGCGUUGAUAGUAUCAGAAGAGGAAGAGACGGCUAACUCUGUGCCAGCAGCCGCGGUAAUACAGAGGUCUCAAGCGUUGUUCGGAUUCAUUGGGCGUAAAGGGUGCGCAGGUGGCGUCGUAAGUCGGGUGUGAAAUCUCGGAGCUUAACUCCGAAACUGCAUUCGAUACUGCGGUGCUUGAGGACUGGAGAGGAGACUGGAAUUUACGGUGUAGCGGUGAAAUGCGUAGAGAUCGUAAGGAAGACCAGUGGCGAAGGCGGGUCUCUGGACAGUUCCUGACACUGAGGCACGAAGGCCAGGGGAGCAAACGGGAUUAGAUACCCCGGUAGUCCUGGCAGUAAACGGUGCACGUUUGGUGUGGGAGGAUUCGACCCCUUCUGCGCCGGAGCUAACGCGUUAAACGUGCCGCCUGGGGAGUGCGGUCGCAAGAUUAAAACUCAAAGGAAUUGACGG